rnacentral:sRNA from 1 species
ACUCACGCAGUUGAGUGUGCCUAUAAUCCCAGCUACUUGGGAAGUUGAAGCAAGAGGAUUGCUUGAGUCUAGGAGUCUGAGGUCAGCGUAGGCAACACAGUGAGACCUCAUUUCCA